rnacentral:rRNA from 1 species
GAUGAACGCUGGCGGCGCGCCUAAUACAUGCAAGUCGAGCGAACAGACGAGGAGCUUGCUCCUCUGACGUUAGCGGCGGACGGGUGAGUAACACGUGGAUAACCUCCCUAUAAUACUGGGAUAACUUCGGGAAACCGGAGCUAAUACCGGAUAAUAUAUUGAACCGCAUGGUUCAAUAGUGAAAGACGGUUUUGCUGUCACUUAUAGAUGGAUCCGCGCCGCAUUAGCUAGUUGGUAAGGUAACGGCUUACCAAGGCAACGAUGCGUAGCCGACCUGAGAGGGGGAUCGGCCACACUGGAACUUAGACACGGUCCAGACUCCUACGGGAGGCAGCAGUAGGGAAUCUUCCGCAAUGGGCGAAAGCCUGACGGAGCAACGCCGCGUGAGUGAUGAAGGUCUUCGGAUCGUAAAACUCUGUUAUUAGGGAAGAACAAAUGUGUAAGUAACUAUGCACGUCUUGACGGUACCUAAUCAGAAAGCCACGGCUAACUACGUG